GAACCUUGGAAACUCAAGCCAAUGCACACCAAUCCCAUGCCCACUGCCCAUGCAGGACUGAGACAGAGGGAAGACGCCAGAGUGGCCCAUCCUCUAUUCUGUACUCCCAGUUGGUGGAAGAGGAAAGGGAAAUCGUGCUUAUUAAAAAUCUCAAAGGUGCAGCUCCAGGUUGUUCAGGCAUCUCAUGACAGCAACAGGAGUCAAAAGACCCCACCCUGCAGGCUGGAAUUCAGGGCAAAAAUGAUGGCAUUCUGCAGGGAUAAAUUAAAGGCUGGCACUUAGGUUCAAAAAGCCAACUAUACAAGGCCAAGAAAAAAAGCCUCUGAAUUGUAUUUUUUAUGAAAGACUUAACAUGGACUAAUUGUGUGGUAAAGCUACCCAAAACACUGAAGUUUACAAUACAAAAUGCUGUUGUUAGGAAAGAAACUCAUAUCCAUUGCAAAAUAACUUGAAAAUUUACAAAUAUGAGAGAGAGCAGUCGAGAGAGAGCUGCGUGUAUGGAGAUUACUUAAUCCCAUCUCUGACAAUUAUCUGUUAAUCCACUUGAUUAUAACCUUCUAUUUCUUUUCCCUAGGCAGGUAUUCAAGGUAUAUCUAUAACAUAAUUGUAUUUUUGAAAAGAUAUAUUUGCAACUUGGCUUUUUUUUUUUUUGAACAGUCUUGCUCUGUUGCCCAGGCUGGAGUGCAGUGGCGCGAUCACGGUUCACUGCAGCCUCGACCUCCUGGGCUCAAGUGAUCCUCCUACCUCAGCCUCCUGAAUAGCUAGGACUGCAGGUGUACACCACCAUGCCUGUCCAAGUUUUAAAUUUUUUGUAGAGUUGGGGGGGGUCUCUCUAUUUUGCCCAGGUUGGCCUCAAACUCCUGGACUCAAGGAAUCCCCUCAGCCUCCCAAAGUGCUGAGAUUAUAGGUAUGAGCCACCAUACCUGGCCACAACUUGACUUUUUUAUAUAACUAAAUAUUGUAAAUAACUUUCAAAGUCAUUACUUUUCCAUAAUGCCAUUUUUAUGUGUUGUAAAAUAUUCUAUUUUAUAAAUUUACCAUAAUUUAUUUAUAAAAUUGUAUUUUGUACAUUGAUUUUUCCUCGAUUUUUCUGUAAUAUAAUGAAUCCUGGGCUGAAUCACCUUGGAAAUAAAUGUUUG
rnacentral:lncRNA from 1 species